AAAAGUGGUAGCGUUGCAAGUUGCAGCCCACAAUCUUGAAUUUUGUUUAGCUGUUUGAUGGAUACAUCUUUCAAUUGCAAUCAUCUUCAACAUAUCAUAUUCAGUGUCUCUGAUACAACCAUUGAGAGGUAGCUGCUGAGUCUGAGUUAGUCCGCACAUCUUCUCAUCCAUAGACCUAAUUUUAAUGGGAAGUGUAAUUAAUACCCUUUAUUUCAUACAACCACCAUGCAAUUAAGAUACCCAUUAUGCUUGUACAGGCAAAUAUGGAAUGGAAUGGAAUGGAAUAUAUGCUGGGCAGUAGCUAGCUCUGUUUGGUCUAUAGCUAAGUGGAACAAAUUAAUUGCACCAAUAAUUACAUAUUUUAAUUUCACCCAAAACUCUCUAACGAUUGGGAGUUAGAAUUCUUUUUAUCAUAAUUGAGAAUGAUGGUUGCCUGUACCUUACAAUUUUAUUUAGAGAUAAAA
rnacentral:misc_RNA from 1 species